rnacentral:lncRNA from 1 species
UUACUGCUUAUUUGAUGUUUUGGUAUGUUAAAGUUGAAAAUUAUGAGCAGACAGAUACCAUUUUCAAUACCUAAACCCAUAAAAUUUCAUUUGUUUUUACCCAAUUCGUUAAGCUCGGUGAGGUAGACUUGAAAGAUAGACCGUCCAUAAGGCGUUGACCUCAGUGAUGGAUCCAAAAGAUACACAGUCCACUGGGUAUCAACUCGGCGAGGUGAAUUCGAAAGAUAGACAGUUGAUGAGGAGGCAAAACUUUGUUUGAGGAAUGUUAAAAAAAACCUUUUAUAAAUGGUAUUUGUUUAAUAGAGAGUUGAUGAGAAGGCAUUUCUAAGAUAAAAGAAGGUAUAGUUCUUUCAAUUUCGCAUCCCGAUUUAGAAUCCAUAGUAGCCAAAAAAAGGUUGUUUAAUAUUUGCUGCAUUGUUUAAAAGCAUGGGCUACAUUUAGUUUGAAGAGAAAGAGCCACGAUAUUACAAGAUAAAAAGAAGGCAUAGCUCUUUCAAUUUCGUAUCCCAACAAGUUCUACUUGAUUCUCUAGAAAUUCAAGUCGAUAACGAUUGACGAGUCUUUAUAUUCUAUAGAGUUGAAGAAGUUUGAAACCCCAGCUGUUGAGGUUAGUCUUUAACUUCUUGUACUUAUAUUUAUCUCUAAUCUUUUCCGAUCCACUAUUUGACAUUGGUAAUCCUUACUUGUCUGAAAUUUUCUUGAGUCCCCCUAUAAUAAACACUGGCAUGAUCACUAGUGACAAAACUGCCAUUUGAGGCUUUUGGCGUACUCAAUAGCUUCAUUGGACAUAAACGCAGUCACAAUGAUAUUGUUUUCCCAACAUGUAAUAGCUACAUAGUCUUUGUAGCCACUAGGCUCUAAUUUCCAGUCCUUGAGGUUAUUAGUCUCCACAGCAAGGAGCCAACUAAGACAGUUCUAUUGUGGACUGCGAUGAUCAACAGUGC